rnacentral:lncRNA from 1 species
GUUUUGUGACACCUACAAUAUGUUUUGUAUUCUUUAUUGUGUCCUAACCCCAUUUCAUGAUAACACACUAUUACUUGCUAUGUAUUAAAUCACAUAAUAUAGAUUCAAACAAUGAACAAAAUAAUAAUGAACUAGAUAAUCAAAUAGGAAAUAUAGAACUCAACGGAGUUUAAAUAAAUUUAUUUCCUAUUUUUAGGUUUUCUGAGCAUGAGAUGUACUCAGAGUGUAGUAUAUGUUUUGAUGCGUUUGCAGAUGGGGAUGAGAUUAUUAUCCUCCCAGUCUGUAGGCACAUUUAUCGUAAUCAUUGUAUUACUCCUUGGUUUACAUCUCAUUCUAACUGUCCACUUUGUCGUUAUAACUAUAGUGGUUAUAGUUUAGAUGAUUAGAUUUUAUUGUACACAAUUUGAAUUUACAUUGUUCCUACUUCCUUUGAAUUAUAUGUAAUAAAUUUUUUAUAUUUGAAUAUUUUUCUUCAAGUUGGGAAGGAAUGUUAUGCUUAAUUUAUAAAAUCUUUAACAUAUUUUAUUGAUAUAAAUAAACAUCGGGACAUGAGUAUGGGAACGCAUCAUGCAAAAUGCGGGGUCCACGAUAUCCCAAUUAGAAUUUCAUGGAGAGCACAAUAUCGUCAGAUGAGGACUUUUUAUUACCUUUUAGAGAGCACGUCCAUUCAUUUUUUGUGGGGAUCUCCUAUUAAGAGGAGGGAGAAGGGAGGGGAAGAAAAAGAAAAGAAUCGGAGAAGGGAGGUGGUUGAUCUUGGAAGCUAAGGGAAAUGAGGGAUUUGCUUGAAGCUAAGCACAUAUUGCUUGAGUGGAGAUUACCCAAGUAUGGUUACUAUGUCUUCAAUGUUUCCAUUAAAACCUUGUUCUUCUUCUCUGUUUGUCUUCUCUUCACUACCCUUUGUUGUUGCGCAUGGGUAGGCUUGAUAUGUAUAUAAAAGUUGUUUCUGGUAAUAGAGAUUUUCAUCACUGAAUGAACCCAUUUUAAAAGAAAUUUUCUGUCGGAUGAGGACUUUUUAUUUCCUUUUAGAGAGCACAUCCAUUCAUUUUUUGUGGGGCUCUCCUAUUAGAGGAGGGAGAAGGGAGGGAAAGAAAAAGAAAAGAAUCGGAGAAGGGAGGUUGUUGAUCUUGGAAGCUAAGGGAAAUGAGGGAUUUGCUUGAUGCUAAACACAUAUUGCUUGAGUGGAGAUUACCCAGGUAUGGUUACUAUGUCUUCAAUGUUUCCAUUAAAUCCUUGUUCUUCUCUGUUUAUCUUCUCUUCGCUGCCCUUUGUUGCGCAUGCAUUCAUUUUUUGUGGGGAUCUCCUAUUAGAGGAGGGAGAAGAGAGGGGAAGAAAAAGAAAAGAAUCGGAGAAGGGAGGUUGUUGAUCUUGGAAGCUAAGGGAAAUGAGGGAUUUGCUUGAAGCUAAGCACAUAUUGCUUGAGUGGAGAUUACCCAUGGUUACUAUGCUUUCAAUGUUUCCAUUAAAACCUUGUUCUUCUCUGUUUAUCUUCUCUUCAUUGCCCUUUGUUGGGCAUGCAUUGAUUUUUACUGGGGAUCUCCUAUUAGAGGAGGGAGAAGGGAGGGGAAGAAAAAGAAAAGAAUCAGAGAAGGGAGGUUGUUGAUCUUGGAAGCUAAGGGAAACGAGGGAUUUGCUUGAUGCUAAGCACAUAUUGCUUGAGUGGAGAUUACCCAGGUAUGGUUACUAUGUUUUCAAUGUUUCCAUUAAAACCUUGUUCUUCUCUGUUUAUCUUCUCUUCACUGCCCUUUGUUGGGCAUGCAUUGAUUUUUACUGGGGAUCUCCUAUUAGAGGAGGGAGAAGGGAGGGGAAGAAAAAGAAAAGAAUCGGAGAAGGGAGGUUGUUGAUCUUGGAAGCUAAGGGAAAUGAGGGAUUUGCUUGAUGCUAAGCACAUAUUGCUUGAGUGGAGAUUACCCAGGUAUGGUUACUAUGUCUUCAAUGUUUCCAUUAAAACCUUGUUCUUCUCUUUUUAUCUUCUCUUCACUGCCCUUUGUUGCGCAUGCGUUCAUUUUUUGUGGGGGUCUCCUAUUAGAGGAGGGAGAAGGGAGGGGAAGAAAAAGAAAAGAAUCGGAGAAGGGAGGUUGUUGAUCUUGGAAGCUAAGGGAAAUGAGGGAUUUGCUUGAUGCUAAGCACAUAUUGCUUGAGUGGAGAUUACCCAGGUAUGGUUACUAUGUCUUCAAUGUUUCCAUUAAAACCUUGUUCUUCUCUUUUUAUCUUCUCUUCACUGCCCUUUGUUGCGCAUGCGUUCAUUUUUUGUGGGGAUCUCCUAUUAGAGGAGGGAGAAGGGAGGGGAAGAAAAAGAAAAGAAUCGGAGAAGGGAGGUUGUUGAUCUUGGAAGCUAAGGGAAAUGAGGGAUUUGCUCGAUGCUAAGCACAUAUUUGCUUGAGUGGAGAUUACCCAGGUAUGGUUACUAUGUCUUCAAUGUUUCCAUUAAAACCUUGUUCUUCUCUGUUUAUCUUCUCUUCACUGCCCUUUGUUGCACAUGGGUCGGCAAGCUCUGCAACUUAUUGCUCCUAUUCUUCUUCGCUGGUGUCUCUCUUGUUGAGCCUCGGACUUUGCAGUUUUGUUUGGAGUCCUACUGGUGUUUAGUCGUUUUUGUUCAUUAUUUAGCAUUCAGCUCUUGCUCGUGUAUUUGAGCAUAAGAAUGUCUGUUUCUUGGGUAUGUUGUAAACAGUGUUUGAAAUAUAUUUUUCUCUGAAAUUUCGGUAAUCGGCCGGCUCCCGUC